UACGUAGGGCGCGAGCGUUGUCCGGAAUUAUUGGGCGUAAAGAGCUCGUAGGCGGCUUGUCGCGUCGGAUGUGAAAGCCCGGGGCUUAACUCCGGGUCUGCAUUCGAUACGGGCAGGCUAGAGUUCGGUAGGGGAGAUCGGAAUUCCUGGUGUAGCGGUGAAAUGCGCAGAUAUCAGGAGGAACACCAGUGGCGAAGGCGGGCAUCUGGGCCAACACUGACGCUGAGGCGCGAAAGCUAGGGGAGCAAACAGG
rnacentral:rRNA from 1 species